GGCUACGUAGCUCAGUUGGUUAGAGCACAUCACUCAUAAUGAUGGGGUCACACGAUCCAAACACUAACUAAACCCCA
rnacentral:tRNA from 1 species